rnacentral:rRNA from 1 species
GCCUAAAAUUAAGCCUAACCCACCCUUAUGAAAACCACUUCCAACUAAACAACAAUAAAACAUUUUAUCAGUUUAGUAAAGGCGAUUAAAAAACUUUCUAGCGCUUUACUUCUUGUACCGCAAGGGAAAAAUGAAAUAGUUUUGAAACAGCCAUUAAGCAACCUAUAGCAGAGACUCUCCUCG